GCUUGUCUCAAAGAUUAAGCCAUGCAUGUCUAAGUAUAAACAACUUUAUACUGUGAAACUGCGUACAGCUCAUUAUAUCAGUUAUAAUUUAUUUGAUGGUGAUUUACUACAUGGAUAACCGUGGUAAUUCUAGAGCUAAUACAUGCAAAAAAACCCAGACUUACGAAUGGGUGCACUUAUUAGAUAAAGCCAACGCUGGGUAAAACCAGUUUCCCUUGGUGAUUCAUAAUAAUUAAGCGGAUCGCAUGGCCUUGUGCUAGCGACAGUCCACUCGAUUUUCUGCCCUAUCAUGGUUGAGAUUGUAAGAUAGAGGCUUACAAUGCCUACAACGGGUAACGGGGAAUUAGGGUUCGAUUCCGGAGAGGGAGCCUGAGAAACGGCUACCACAUCCAAGGAAGGCAGCAGG
rnacentral:rRNA from 1 species